rnacentral:rRNA from 1 species
CCUGGCUCAGGAUGAACGCUAGCUACAGGCUUAACACAUGCAAGUCGAGGGGCAGCAUGGUCUUAGCUUGCUAAGGCCGAUGGCGACCGGCGCACGGGUGAGUAACACGUAUCCAACCUGCCGUCUACUCUUGGACAGCCUUCUGAAAGGAAGAUUAAUACAAGAUGGCAUCAUGAGUCCGCAUGUUCACAUGAUUAAAGGUAUUCCGGUAGACGAUGGGGAUGCGUUCCAUUAGAUAGUAGGCGGGGUAACGGCCCACCUAGUCUUCGAUGGAUAGGGGUUCUGAGAGGAAGGUCCCCCACAUUGGAACUGAGACACGGUCCAAACUCCUACGGGAGGCAGCAGUGAGGAAUAUUGGUCAAUGGGCGAGAGCCUGAACCAGCCAAGUAGCGUGAAGGAUGACUGCCCUAUGGGUUGUAAACUUCUUUUAUAAAGGAAUAAAGUCGGGUAUGGAUACCCGUUUGCAUGUACUUUAUGAAUAAGGAUCGGCUAACUCCGUGCCAGCAGCCGCGGUAAUACGGAGGAUCCGAGCGUUAUCCGGAUUUAUUGGGUUUAAAGGGAGCGUAGAUGGAUGUUUAAGUCAGUUGUGAAAGUUUGCGGCUCAACCGUAAAAUUGCAGUUGAUACUGGAUAUCUUGAGUGCAGUUGAGGCAGGCGGAAUUCGUGGUGUAGCGGUGAAAUGCUUAGAUAUCACGAAGAACUCCGAUUGCGAAGGCAGCCUGCUAAGCUGCAACUGACAUUGAAGCUCGAAAGUGUGGGUAUCAAACAGGAUUAGAUACCCUGGUAGUCCACACGGUAAACGAUGAAUACUCGCUGUUUGCGAUAUACUGCAAGCGGCCAAGCGAAAGCGUUAAGUAUUCCACCUGGGGAGUACGCCGGCAACGGUGAAACUCAAAGGAAUUGACGGGGGCCCGCACAAGCGGAGGAACAUGUGGUUUAAUUCGAUGAUACGCGAGGAACCUUACCCGGGCUUAAAUUGCAGAUGAAUUACGGUGAAAGCCGUAAGCCGCAAGGCAUCUGUGAAGGUGCUGCAUGGUUGUCGUCAGCUCGUGCCGUGAGGUGUCGGCUUAAGUGCCAUAACGAGCGCAACCCUUGUUGUCAGUUACUAACAGGUUCCGCUGAGGACUCUGACAAGACUGCCAUCGUAAGAUGUGAGGAAGGUGGGGAUGACGUCAAAUCAGCACGGCCCUUACGUCCGGGGCUACACACGUGUUACAAUGGGGGGUACAGAGGGCCGCUACCACGCGAGUGGAUGCCAAUCCCCAAAACCUCUCUCAGUUCGGACUGGAGUCUGCAACCCGACUCCACGAAGCUGGAUUCGCUAGUAAUCGCGCAUCAGCCACGGCGCGGUGAAUACGUUCCCGGGCCUUGUACACACCGCC